rnacentral:rRNA from 1 species
AGCGAACGCUGGCGGCAGGCCUAACACAUGCAAGUCGAACGAACCCUUCGGGGUUAGUGGCGGACGGGUGAGUAACACGUGGGAACGUGCCUUUAGGUUCGGAAUAACUCAGGGAAACUUGUGCUAAUACCGAAUGUGCCCUUCGGGGGAAAGAUUUAUCGCCUUUAGAGCGGCCCGCGUCUGAUUAGCUAGUUGGUGAGGUAAUGGCUCACCAAGGCUACGAUCAGUAGCUGGUCUGAGAGGAUGACCAGCCACAUUGGGACUGAGACACGGCCCAAACUCCUACGGGAGGCAGCAGUGGAGAAUCUUGCGCAAUGGGCGAAAGCCUGACGCAGCCAUGCCGCGUGGAUGAUGACGGUCUUCGGAUUGUAAAGCUCUGUCUUUAGGGACGAUAAUGACGGUACCUAAGGAGGAAGCCACGGCUAACUACGUGCCAGCCGCCGCCGUAACAC